rnacentral:tRNA from 1 species
GAUAGUUUGGCUGAGUGGUCAGGCGCCAGAUUUAGGCUCUGGUCCGAAAGGGUGUGGGUUCAAAUUCCACAACUGUCA